GCGUUCGUAGCUCAGACGGAUAGAGCGGCAAUUUUCUAAAUUGCGGGUCGCAGGUUCAAGUCCUGCCGGACGCACCA
rnacentral:tRNA from 1 species